AACGAACGCUGGCGGCAGGCUUAACACAUGCAAGUCGAGCGCCCCGCAAGGGGAGCGGCAGACGGGUGAGUAACGCGUGGGAAUCUACCCAUCUCUACGGAAUAACGCAUGGAUACGUGUGCUAAUACCGUAUACGUCCUUCGGGAGAAAGAUUUAUCGGGGAUGGAUGAGCCCGCGCUGGAUUAGCUAGUUGGUGGGGUAAAGGCCUACCAAGGCGACGAUCCAUAGCUGGUCUGCGAGGAUGUUCAGCCACACUGGGACUGAGACACGGCCCGGCCUCCUACGAGCGUCAGUAGUGGGGAAUAUUGGACAAGGCGCGCAAGCCUGAUCCAGCCAGGCCGCGUGAGUGAUGAAGGCCCUAGGGUUGUAAAGCUCUUUCACCGGUGAAGAUAAUGGCGGUAGCCGGAGAAGAAGCCCCGGCUAACUUCGUGCCAGCCGCCGCAGUAAGAC
rnacentral:rRNA from 1 species